CCUACGGGAGGCAGCAGUAAGGAAUAUUGGACAAUGCCCGCAAGGGUGAUCCAGCCAUGCCGCGUGCAGGAAGAAGGCCCUAUGGGUCGUAAACUGCUUUUACACCGGAGAAAACCUCCCUUCGUGAAGGGAGCUGAUAGUAUGGUGAGAAUAAGCAUCGGCUAACUUCGUGCCAGCAGCCGCGGUAAGACGAAGGAUGCAAGCGUUAUCCGGAUUCAUUGGGUUUAAAGGGAGCGUAGGUGGACUGAUAAGUCAGUGGUGAAAUCUUCGAGCUUAACUCGGAAAUUGCCAUUGAUACUGUUAGUCUUGAGUACAGUUGCUGUGGGCGGAAUAUGACAUGUAGUGGUGAAAUACAUAGAGAUGUCAUAGAACACCGAUUGCGAAGGCAGCUCACAAAGCUGUAACUGACACUGAGGCUCGAAAGUGCGGGGAUCAAACAGGAUUAGAUACCCUGGUAGUCCGCACUGUAAACGAUGAUUACUCGCUGCUAGAGGGCAACUUUUAGUGGCUUAGCGAAAGCGAUAAGUAAUCCACCUGGGGAGUACGCGGCAACGGUGAAACGUCAAAGGAAUUGACGGCNGAGAGNGCGAGGACGACACGAGGGGAGGAGG
rnacentral:rRNA from 1 species